AAAGUCGUAACAAGGUAACCGUAGGUGAACCUGCGGUUGGAUCAUUAACAAAUGAUUUGGUUUUGAACCAAAACACUGUGUGCAACUACAUCUGUUUCUGGUGGUUUUUUUGUGUAUCUUUCACUUGUCCGGUGCUCCCGAACGUCAAAUAUGUGUCGACGUUCACUCAAGCACGGGUUGCAAAUGGCAGGAGGAGAUCACAGCCACCGAAUGACCAAUCAACUUUUUGUAUUUUUUUUUUGUCUGAAUCAUUCACAUUUUGUGCAAUGAAAAACAAUUUUUAACAACGGAUCUCUUGGUUCUC
rnacentral:misc_RNA from 1 species